ACUCAAAUGAAUUGACGGGGACCCGCACAAGCGGUGGAUGAUGUGGAUUAAUUCGAUGCUACGCGAAAAACCUUACCUACCCUUGACAUGGUCGGAACCUGGCUGAGAGGCCGGGGUGCUCGAAAGAGAGCCGGCACACAGGUGCUGCAUGGCUGUCGUCAGCUCGUGUCGUGAGAUGUUGGGUUAAGUCCCGCAACGAGCGCAACCCUUGUCCUUAGUUGCUACGCAAGAGCACUCUAAGGAGACUGCCGGUGACAAGCCGGAGGAAGGUGGGGAUGAUGUCAAGUCCUCAUGGCCCUUACGGGUAGGGCUUCACACGUCAUACAAUGGUCGGACCAAAGGGCUGCCUACCCGCGAGGGGAAGCCAAUCCCAGAAAACCGAUCGUAGUCCGGAUUGCAGUCUGCAACUCGACUGCAUGAAGCUGGAAUCGCUAGUAAUCGCGGAACAGCAUGCCGCGGUGAAUACGUUCCCGGGUCUUGCACACACCGCCCGU
rnacentral:rRNA from 1 species